rnacentral:ncRNA from 1 species
UAAAAAGCUUUGAACAGAAUAGUAAAUAUUUGGAGUCUUUAGAGAGGGACUGGCUGCUGAAAAGUCCUGACAUAAAAAUAUUGAACCAGCCUGGGAGCUGCAGGAAUAAAAAACCUGCCGGAAAGCCACCGUUAUUAUGGCAUAGAGUGUGUAUUAUUAAAUGUUUGUUUAAUAUAUAAAUUUAGGUGGUACCGCGGAAGUAUAUUUCGUCCUGAAC